UGGGGAUAAAAAUUUAAUUAAGGUAAAAGGGUUUAUUGGGCCCUAGUUGGAGGUAGCCAGGCCCAUCAGACUAUGGGCACAUGACCUUUGCAGGGGUCUUUCUCCAAAAGUCAGUUUCCCAUUCUGCCAAAUUUCCCUUUCUCUCUCUAGAAAACAGAAAACCCUUUUUGCCCUAAAACAUUUUCUCUGUCUUCUCUCUAAAUUCCCAGCAAAUUUAACCGUUCAAUCUUUGAAUAGGUGGUGCUCAAACGUUCACCGCGUCGAAAGCUUCGUAACGGACCAAACAAUUUCUUGUUUCUACCGGGCGUCUUUAAAAUUGGCUGUGAGGAGCACUGUUUAGGGCAUCCCUGUCAAGUAAACUGUGAAGUUUUCCAGAUAUGGUUGAGGAGGCCCUCUUGGAGCAAGUACUGGAUGACGCUGAUGCUNCUGNUUAGCNCUCUUUAAGAUUUCAUUUAUUUAGCUUAUGUUAUUUGGAAAUACUUAUUAGAUUAUUUUGAAAUACUUUGCAAUUAUUAANGUUUUAAACUAGGCCAUUCUGGAUGACUGUAAUCCUCUAAUUAAUCGUACUUUAUACUCUAACUGUUCUCUUUAUUUGGAUGAUGACAUCUCUAUUAUAUGAUUAGCA